rnacentral:lncRNA from 1 species
CUGUGAGCCUGAUUACAAGUAUGCCAAGAGUAGACGGGUAAAUAGAGGAACAAAUGAAGGAACCUGGAAAAAGACUGGCAAUGGUUCUAAAAUCAAGCGAAAAUACAGUACCGAAGUGAUUGGUACCAAAAGGAUUUUGUCUUUCUCCUGCCAUGAUUCUGCUUCCAAGAAAGCUAAGACUGAGUGGGUUAUGCACGAAAUAGCUGUUGAAGAUGACCCUGAUUAUAAGGUAUUAGCUACUGUUUUAGAAUUGCGUAGGUAUCGUAAAAUAAUCUGUUUAUUUUCAUGAAAAAUAAUUGUAAAAUACUCUGUUUAUUUUAUUGCAGAAGGACUUUGUUGUGUGUCGCCUUGAAAGAAAACGGGAGAAGAAGAUGCUUGGUGUUGUUUCCACUAAAAGAAAACGGGAUGAGAAGCUUGGUGUUUCCACUAAUGAUGGUGAUCAAUCUUGUCAAAAUUUGACUUCUAAAAGAAGUCAUAUUGCAGAAGAUACUACUAGAAAUCAUGUUGUAGAAAAAGAAGAUUUGGUUUCUAAUAGGACUCGGGUUGCAGAAAAUACUGUUUUGGCCUCUGAAGUUCAAGCAACAGACCAUUCGAUUUCUGAUUCUAGAGAUCAUGUUGCAGAAAAUAUUGUCGACAAUUCUGUUGAGGCAGAAACUCGACAAUUUGCAGAAUUCAAUCCACAGGGAGAUGGCUAUAAUGGGCUGAAUGAAGCCUCUGUCUUGGCACUGCAGUCACCAGUUUAUCCAGAACAGGAAUUGUCAUACUCUAAUGGUUCUAGUUGCGGUAAUGGUUUAUUGAAUUCUGAAUUUGACAGUGAGCAGGUAGAUGACCAGUUCAAUUCACAGAGGGAUUUUCAGAAUAAAGACUCUCCUAAUGAAUCUGGGCAGACCACUUCUGACUUCCUCUCAUCAAAGUCAGAUGAAGGAGUUUACUUGGAGGAUGGCAGUGACAUGGACUCUGAAACCUUCAUUGCAAAGGUGACGAUAUUCUUUCAGUAUUAAUAGUACUUCAGUAGCAUACGUUAAGAAUAAUCAAAUCCUCCAGGAGCAUAUUAUAUUAUUAUUAAUGUAAUAUUGCUUCAUUCAUAGUGUAUUGUAUUACAAACUUUUUAAUCCCUGAGAGUGGUUGUUUGGGGCAUUUGGUUGCACAAGUUACUCUCUAUCAUAUGUAAUAUCUACAUGUAAGAGUACGGUCAAGUUUUGGAGAAGUUCAGCUUGUUAAAUGGGAAUGCUUAUUGAAAACAUUAGUGGCUGAUCAGACUUGAUAGGCCUAAGGGAAGAUCAAAAGAACUCAAUUGCCAGCAUCUUUGACUGUUGGAAAUCAGCAAACCUGGAGUCCCCAACACAGAGGCUAUUUUAAGGUAAAUGUAGAUGCAGCUGCUAAUGCAGAUAAGCAAGUCCCAGGGCUGGGAGCUGUUAUUCGAGAUGAAACUGAGAAUGUAAUUGCAGCUGCAAUUAAUCCUUCAAAGUUUUAUGGAGAUGUAUCUUUUGUGGAGGCAGAAGCAGUGGAGUGGGGUAUGCAAGCUUAGCAUUAUUGCUUGCUGAAUCAGGCUCCCAAGAGGUGGUUACCUGGCAUUAUUGCUUGUUGAAUCAGGCUCUCAGGAGGUGGUUAAUUUUGUAAACAAAAGGCAGGGCAGCAGAUUCAAAAUCUUCUGUUUUAUCUCAUAAAUUCAGUAACUUUGUGAAGGGCUUUGGUCAUGUUGGUGUCCAGUAUGCUCAUAGAUCUUGUAAUGUUAUUGCCCUCUCUUUAGUUACUAGAAAUGCGAAACUGUUGUAUGGAUGGGCUCAUACCCUUCACAACUGAUGUAUUUAUUUUCUUCUAUGAAUUGAAUUUGGUUUUAUUCUCAGAGUAAAAACUGAAAAAAAAAAUUCUGAUGUUAAAAAUUCUUGUGACGGUAACUGUCUUCAUUCAUGUAUAUAUGACACUAUAAGCAGUUUGCUCAUAAGCUGUGGAGGCUUUUGUUCAUCCUUUUUUGUGGCAUCUGCAACAAUCUCCUAGCAUCCUUGUAAAUAAUACAAAAUUGUUAGUCAAGCGGUUCAUUGUGGCUUUGAAGCUUAAAUAAUUUUCACAUAUUAAGAAGCAAAAACAGGAGCUAAAAUGAGCCGCCUCCUUCUGAAUGAGUAAUGACUAAAGUUGCUCCGUCAGAAAGUUGGUUAUUACUUUAAAGAAACAAGUGAUAAAGCGGAAACAAGAGAUAAAAAUGCGCAUAGUACUGCUGAUCUCAUUUCAUUGGAAUACAUAAGUACAAGAUUCUUUCUUGUACCCCAGGAGGUAUGAUGUGUCAUGUAUAAUUACAGCUAUUCUGUACUACUCACGAUCGUCGACCAGUUGUCUAAAUCUAAAGCCAGUAAGCUUAUGCUUUCACCCAUAAAGCUAUAUGUUUAUCUUUAGGAGCCCCCUAAGUUAACGUAACUUAGCACUCGUCUUAUCUUUAUUGUCCAAAUAUGAGAUGAAAAAAGAACACGGAUAAUACUUUGAAGAUAAAAUUGGUCAUUCGAGAUCUAUUAAAAUUGGUUUUGAAAACAUUUUUAGUCCAUCCUAGUAAAAAUCUUGUUAACCGAAAAAAUCGUAGAACUCCAAAAACUCUGAACUCCAUGAAAAUCGUAACUUGCUGAAAACGAUUCUACUGCCGCUGCCUGAGGAUCGGUCCACCAAAAAGGCUCGUUUUCGCAGCCAUGGCAUCAACGAGGAUAACCCACUGCCGAUAUCCUUCAAGGAUGCGCUUGUGGCCCUUAGCCAAGACAUAAAUUUUGCUGAUACUGAGAUGGAAGAAGAAUGAGAUUUUGAACCUGGAGAUGUGAUAGUAGGAGAUGAUGGUACCACGCCAACUAUCCAAUUCUCUAAACGAAUUCAUGAUAAACUGACUAAACCUUGGUUGAACUCUGUGGUGGUGAAGUUGUUGGGGAGAAGCAUUGGAUAUAAGGUUCUAUGUAAUCGGCUAAAGGUAAUGUGGCAUAUGAUACAAGAUUUUUCAACGAUUGACCUUGAAAACAAUUAUUUUUUAGUUCGCCUCCACUCACCGGAGGAUGUUGUCUAUGCACUAACUGAGGGGCCAUAGGUAAUCUUUGGGCACUAUUUAACAGUACAACCUUGGACUCCACAGUUUGACAGCACUAUUACUGAUGUCGAUUCUGCAAUUGUCUGGAUUCGUUUAACUGGUAUGGCUUUUCAUCUAUACAACAAGCGUCUACUACGAAAGGUUGGACAACUAGUGGGUACUGUUAUCAAUAUUGAUUAUCAUACCGAAUUACGGGAGAGGGGAAAGUUUGCUAGGAUUGAUGUCCGCAUUUCUUUGUCUCAACCUUUGGUGUCUUAGUUUAAUUUGGAUGAGGUCCAAAAGGUUGAAUACGAAGGUUUGUUAGUUAUCUGUUACCAAUGUGGUAAAUAUGGCCACAAUAGCAUCGCUUGCCCCGACAAAGAAAAUCUGAAUAGGGCUAACGAUGGUAACUCUGAGAGCAUUCCUCUAAUUAAUGUGGCAGUUGAUAAGGAUGGUGCUCCAGCUAUGGCAAAUAACAAUAAGGAGAAAUUUGGUCCAUGGAUGGUUGUGACACGGAAAGGGAGAACUGAGUAGUAGUGGACAAGGAGAACAUUUCUGAUUUAGAGAGGAAUCAGUAGAAUAACUUUAAUACUGCCUCCCGUUUUUCUGCUUAUUUGAUGAUCUCGACACAAAUGCCGUGGUGGAAGUUGCUGUUCAGAACCCUUCAUUUAUCCCUCCCCAAUGACCAACUGCAUCCGUUACUGACCACUUUAACGCCUGAAGGAACCCUACUUUGAAAACCUUUACUACCCUAAAACCCCAUAACCACCUUUCUAAAGGUAAACAAGAGGCUAAAGCACAACUUUCACGACUUAGGCAACCGAACUCCAAAACUUUCACUUCCAUGCAUGUAAACCUACUCCCCCAUGUUACUAGAACCUUUUUCCCACAAUACACACAUCCCUAUCCCGAACCCAUCAGGACAUACUCCUUGUUUGCCCGUUGAACCUACUUUCACUUGACAAUCUUUGAUCCUCAUAACCAUACAACAGUGACCUUUCCCAUAAAAAAAACCAUGCGAUGAUGGGCAACUAGCCGGGUUGCUCAAGUGGAAAAGAUUCUGCCAACCCUGAACAGCAACGCUACCCAAAACAGCUAGCUAAUCCUCCCGAUGAUAAGGAUGAAAGGGAAGUUAAUACAAUGGCAAACUAUGCUAGUGACCCUAAACUUGUAUUCAGGCAUGUAAGUGAAGACACGAUGUUUGAUGAUGAAAACAAUGUUGUUAAUGAAACUCCUGGCAUGCAUGAAGGAGCGGUUUUAGGGCUCAGUAUGUAAGCAGCUCAUACUCACCUUCUUUGUAUAUAUAUAUUUUAUGACGAUUUCAAUCCUUUUCUAGAAUGUCCAAGGGGCGGGGUCCCCAAACUUUCGACGUGUUUUUGCUACUUUAGUUAAAAGCUACAAUCAUACCAUUGUUGCGACGUUAGAGCCCAGAAUCAGUGGUAAGAAAGCAGAUGACUUUAUUAAAAAAAAGUGGCUUUGACCGCUCACAUUGAGUGGAGGCUAUUGGGUUCUCUUGAGGCAUUUGGAUCUUAUGGAGGAAUUUUUUUGACGUUGAGAAUGUCUUAAAUCAUAACCAAUUUAUUCAUUUGAAAAUCAGUGUCCAGAAUGUUUUCCAAUCUUGGGUCACAACAGUCUAUGCGAGCCCCAAUUCAACUGGAUGUCGUGAUCUUUGGCGCCAUUUGAAUUGUAUUGCGGAUUCGAUGCAUGAUCCUUGGAUUGUGGGGGGUGAUUUCAAUUCAAUAUUGUAUGCUGAGGAAAAAUGUGGGGGGUUCUUAAUUGAGCACGGGUGUUUGUCCAAAUUUCAAAUCACGGUAUCAUGCUAAACAAAUGGUUGACUUGUAGUUCAGUGGCCCCCGAUUCACUUGUUCAUGUGGGAAUCUUUCAAAACAUCUUGACCGCGCUAUGAGUAAUCAAGAGUGGAUUCUCAAAUUUGAUAGUUAUUCGGUUACUUAUUUGCCACGAAUUGAAUCUGACCACAUACCGAUUUUGGUUCGCUUUGGGCGCAAUUCUAGAUGCAUGGGGAGCACCAAGCCUUUUCGCUUUCUAGCUACUUGGAUGACUGACAAACGGUUUGGGGCUUUUAUGCAGGAUAGCUGGCAAAAAAAUACUCCUUAUUCCUAGGUAGCCUCUAUCUUCACAAAUAAAGUGGUUACUUAGAAUAGAGAAGUUUUUGGCAAUAUCUUUAAACGGAAAAAAGAACUAUUAGCUCGAAUUGGUGGGAUUCAGCAGGCUUUGGAGCGCCAGCCUUUCCGUAGUUUGUAUCGUCUUGAGGCAAAUUAAAAAAAAAAGUUAAAAGAAGUUCCAUCUCAAGAGGAGUUAUUAUGGUAUCAAAAAUCCUGUAGAGACUGGAUUAAUUACAGGGAUCAGAAUACCUCUUUUUUUCAUAAAAAAAAAAACCAUUAGAAGGAGGGCUCGUAAUCGCAUCACUACUAUUAAGGAUGAUGGAGGUACUUGGCUUUAUAAUACACAGGAUAUUAAAUAUCAUGUCGUGUCAUUCUUCUCUACUUUAUAUAAAUCUGAUCAAGACACCUACUGUCCAUAUUAUGUGCAAGGGUGUUUUCCUCAAAUUGAUCAGCUUUGCUUGGCAAAUCUUGCUACUCCGAUUGAUAAUGAGGAAAUUCGUCAGGCUGUUUUUCAAAUGAGCCCUCUCAAAGCCCCUGGAGUCGAUGGCUUUCCUGCUGGAUUUUAUCAAUCUCAGUGGCAUAUUGUUGGUGACUCUUUCUGUGCUGGCAUAAAGGAAGUAUUCACUUCGCAUUGUAUCCCUAGAGAAGUUAAUAAAACCCUCUUCAUCCUCAUCCCAAAGACUAAACACCCUAUAUCUUUUAAGAUGUAUCGCCCUAUCAAGUUUAUUGUGAAUAGACUUCAAGUUUUACUCCUCGAUCUCGUUGGUCCCCAUCAGACAAGCUUUGUCCCUGGCCGACAUAUCACUAAAACAUCAUCAUUGUUCAUUUUAUGAGACGAAAGAUGGGUAAAAAAGGUUUCAUGGCUACAAAGGUUGAUCUGGAGAAAGCGUAUGAUAGAUUAAGUUGGAAUUUUAUCCAUAAGACUUUAAUGGAGCUCUCUUUGCCAUUGGACCUUGUUCGCUUAAUAAUGGAAUGCCUUACUUCUAACUGUAUGAACAUUUUAUGGAAUAGUGAAUUAACUGAUGAUUUUUCUCCUAGCAAAGGUGUAUGGCAGGGUGAUCCUUUGUCUCCCUAUAUUUUUGUGCUUUGUAUCAAGAGACUAAGUCAUGGGAUUUAUUGCUCAAUUCAGCAAGAUCAAUGGAAGCCUAUUUGGUUUAUCUCAGAUGGGUACUCCCCUAAGCCACUUAUUUUUUGCUGAUGAUCUUUUACUCCUUGCCGAGGCCUCUGUGAGCAAGCUUAUUUCAUCAAUUCGGUCUUGGAAGAAUUUUGUUUGUGCUCUAGCGCAAAGGUGAAUAAAUCUAAGACCUAGGUUUAUUUUUCCAAAAAUGUGUUUGUUGAUGAUAAGUGCAUAUUUUUCAUAUAUUUUACUAUUAAUUUCUCCAUCUUUUUCUUGUUUUGAUCUUAAAUAUUCUAGUUAUUUUAGUUAAUUUUUAAAUUAUACAUAUUUUACCCUUAAUUAUUUAAUUACUAGUUAUUUUUAUUUGUUAUUUUUAAUUAAUUAAAUUAUUUUAUUGAAUAGGGAAUUAAUUGGAGAUUAUGAAUAAAAAGGGCAUGAAGAAGUUCAAAUUGAGAAGGAAUAAAGAUUAAAUUGGAAGAUAAAAAUACAGUCAAAAAUUGAUAAAACCGAGUGGAAGAAAUCAAAGCAAUUAAUCCAAUUGAGAAAUGUUGAAUAAUUAAAAGAUUUAAUUUUUUUCAAUUGGCAAUUGGAGUACACGUGCAUGGCAUUGCAAAAGUGGAAAGCAUUUAAACGGGCCCGCAAUUGACUUUCAAAAGUUGGAAUUAAUGGCUUUUGGUGGCGUUAAAUUGGAGAAGGAUUUCAAUUAGAAUUGGAAAAGGAUUUCUUUAUUCUUGUUGGAGAAGAAUUCGGUCAACUAACAUUAUAAAAGGAGAUUGCAGCCGCUGGACAGAAAAAAAGAGCAGGGCAGAUCCAAUUCGGCAGCAAGAGGAAAAUCAACAGCUGCAAGAAGAAGAAAAAAAUCAGCGGCCGGAAUUAAAUUGAAGAAAAAGGCAGCCGUUUGAAUUAAUCUCUAUGAUUGGUUUUGUCAAUUUUCUUAUUUCCAAUUCAAUUAUGUUAGGCUAAAUUUUUAUUUGGUUGAGGGUGAAUUCAAAACCCUAAACAUGCUAUGCAAUUAAAUUUAAAUUCUACCAUUCAAUUUAUUUAAUUGAGAUUGUUUAUGUUCUUCUAUAAUUAAUGUUCAUGGUUUAUUCUUGUUUUGUUUGAGUGGCUAAUUAGAUAGGACUUGAAUAAAUUUUAUUGUUAGAUUAAAAUUCUUGAUCCGUAAUUGUCUUGAUAUUUUAAUCAUUAGUAGCAGGUUGGAAUCAGUGAUUUCAAUUGNNNNNNNNNNNNNNNNNNNNNNNNNNNNNNNNNNNNNNNNNNNNNNNNNNNNNNNNNNNNNNNNNNNNNNNNNNNNNNNNNNNNNNNNNNNNNNNNNNNNNNNNNNNNNNNNNNNNNNNNNNNNNNNNNNNNNNNNNNNNNNNNNNNNNNNNNNNNNNNNNNNNNNNNNNNNNNNNNNNNNNNNNNNNNNNNNNNNNNNNNNNNNNNNNNNNNNNNNNNNNNNNNNNNNNNNNNNNNNNNNNNNNNNNNNNNNNNNNNNNNNNNNNNNNNNNNNNNNNNNNNNNNNNNNNNNNNNNNNNNNNNNNNNNNNNNNNNNNNNNNNNNNNNNNNNNNNNNNNNNNNNNNNNNNNNNNNNNNNNNNNNNNNNNNNNNNNNNNNNNUGUUGUCUAUGGUUGAUAGUUUUAAUAUAAAUUGAUAAUAGAAUUGAUAUAUUAUGUUCAUGUUUGGUGGUGGCGAAUGAUCAUUUAACCAAAGUUUUCAUCAUUAUUCUUUCUUUCUCAUUUAAUUAGAGUUUUUAUUAAAUUCUUGUUCGUAAUUUUAAUUUAUUUAUUUCUUACUAUUUAGUUAAAAAUUCAUAAACCCCCCUUUUAUUUUUAAUUGGCACUUUUGUUAGUUAGAUUAAUUUAUAUUAUUAUUACUAUUAUUAUUAUUAUUAUUAUUACUAUUAUUUUAUUUUAAAUCUUGCUUUGGAGUUAAUAAUAAAUAUAAUUAGCAUAGUCUCUGUGGGAUCGAUCCUUACUCGCUCUGUACUAAUUAUUUAUAUUAGUGGUAAGAUUUUAAAUUUGGUGCACCUUAACGACACUACCAGUUGAUGUUGCCGGCAGAUUGGGGCGCAAGUUGGGGUAUGUAGUCACAAAAGAUUUGGGCAAGUACUUAGGCAUGCCAUUGCUGUACCGCCGUGUUACUAAGCAAACUUACUAGGGGAUUCUAGAUAAAGUGGAUCAACGACUUUCGGGAUGGGUUGCUUCUCAACUAUCUCUUGCAGGGCAGAUUACUCUCACUCAAUUCGUCCUCCAAGCAAUUCCCAUUUAUGCUAUGCAAACUACGAAUUUGCUGGUUAGUAUCAAAUCUAAACUUGAUCAAAUUUGUAGACGUUUCUUGUGGAGUGGAAAUGAUGAUCUGCAUAAAAUGAGUUUAAUUAGUUGGCAUAAUAUAUGCCAACCGAAAUUGGCUGGUGGCCUAGGUUUCAAAAGGCUGGACAUUAUGAAUGAAGCUUUGUUGUUGAAGAUUGCUUGGAAUUUAAUUACUAAACCUGAUAAGCUUUGUGUCCAAGUGUUAGCUACAAAAUACGGAGUUUCUUGCUCAGACAUUCCAUAUUCUAUUCCCACUUGAUACGGCUCUCAUUUGUGGAAAUCUGUGGGUCGAGUUUGGGAUCAUGCUAAGCGGGGAUUACAUUGGAAUGUUGGUAAUAGUAGGAAAAUCAAAUUUUGGUGGGACUGUUGGGCAACAACAUUUUACCCUCUUGUGGGUUUUGCCUUGCAGCCGAUCCCUCUUGAUCUCAGUGAUUUGUAUGUUGGUUCUUUUGUGUCCACAGACGGUUCUUGGAAUUGGCCAAAAUUCAGUCACCUUCUACUCUAUAAUGUAGUGAUGUGAAUUGCUUCAAUUUAUCCCCCUUCGGCUGGAAAUGGUGUAGACCAAGUCUACUGGGCAGCUUCAUCACAAGGAAAUUUUACAGUUAAAUCAGCGUAUAAUCUUUUGGCUCAGUCGCAAUGGAAUGAAAGAGAUAAUUUCUGGCAGUUGGCUUGGUCAUGGAAGGGCCCGCAGAGUGUAAAGAUUUUCAUUUGGUUAGUGCUUCACAAUCGCUUGAAGACUCGAGGAGAAUUAGUGUCACGCCUUUGAACAUUGAUCUACCUUGUGAGAGGUGUGGAUAUGGAUUGGAGAAUACGAUUCACGUCCUCUGUGACUAUCCUUUCUCUAAAGCGGUUUGGUUUCCGUUACUUCGGGGCCAUAAUCAUCAGCAUUUUUUCGAAGCUAACCUUGCGGACUGGAUGUCAAAGAAUUUGCAGGAUUUGAACAAUUUUCCAGGUGGCAACCUUUGGCGUGUCACCUUUGGCAUUGCUAUUUGGCAGCUUUGGUUUUGGCGCAAUCAAUUUAUUUUCACCAAGGCUUUCUGGGAGAGCAAUAAUAUUGCAAUGGAUAUCAAAGUUAGGGCAGCUGAAAUUCAAAGAAGUAAUUUGUGUUCUCUUACUGCUGGCAUGGCUCGUGUCGAGAGAUGGAUCUGCUGGACCGCUCCUCUUUGGCCGUGGGUGAAAUUAAAUACAGAUGGUGCCAAGAAAUCUUCAGGCAAUGCAGGAGCUGGUGGACUAAUAUGUGAUUACAGAGGUAUUUGGCUGGCAGGUUACAGUGUUAACUUGGGUGUUUGCUUAAUGACUUCAGCAGAACUAUGGGGUUUAUUUCACGGGCUAUCCAUCGCUUGACAAUAUGGUUUUCGUACGGUUCAAGUGGAAAUUGACAGUAAGUACAUUAUGCAAUUAGUCUCUAGCUCGAACACUCCUGUCAAUGAACACUUUACUCUCAUUCAAGCCAUCAAGAAUCUCUUCCGCCAUGAUUGGUUGAUUAAAGUGGAUCACAUCUACAGGGAAGCCAAUGCAGCAGCAAAUUUCCAUGCGUCCUACGGUUUUUUUUUUCUUUUGGGUUUACAUUGCUUUUAAUCUAUCCCUUCUAAUAUGAUUAAUAUAUUAAACAAUGAUGUCUAUAGGGUUGCGCACUCCUACUUAAUGUCAUCUUAGCUCUCUUAAGAACCCUCUUAAGAUUUAAAAAAAAAUCAAUUUUGAAAACACUUUUUUAAAAUAUAUUUUAAAAAAUUACUAAUUUACUCCCAAAAAUACUAUUUUUUCUUACCACCAAAAUACAAGCACUGACCUAACAAAACUGUAUUUUAAAGAGAUUUUUAAAAGUCAAUCAAAACCUCUACUAACUAAAUAAUCUUAGCCCUUAAGGGCGUAGUCGGAUCGGUAACAUUAAGAAUCUUAUAGUUCCGAACCACUCGGAUUCAAUCCUUAAGGAUGAUAAGGGAAAAAAAUAAAAAAGUAUUUGAGUUUUGCCCACUUCCCUUAAAAAUAAAAAAAGACUAAAUAAUCUUAACCUUUGCUCAAGUCGGUUUCAAGCACAAGCUGAGUCAUCUGCCACAUUUUGCCACAUCAGAUUAAAUGGCCCUUGAGUCCUAUGCUGACGUGAAUUAUUGACUCCUUGUAAAAGAAGUAGAAGCUUCUAGUAUUAUUAGAAAUUAGCAGACAACUUGUAAAGGAAGGGGAGACGCGUGUCUUUAUUUCCUUUCAUUCCUUCCAAAAGAAGGAGACACCCUGUAAGUGGAUCGCUGACCGUACGAUGUUAACACAUUUUGCUCGCGUGAAAACAAAACUAUCGCGACACAUCAUCAACUGCCCCUUGACGUUUCAUCGACCAAUCACCAAGCUUCAAGCUAGUGUAUGUAUAAAUAAACGGUGAACCCGUCUCAUCGUGCAGAGCAAAUUUUUAUCAUGAGAGACAGCUGGCUAGGCCUCAAGCACUUUGAAUCAAAUCUAAAAGAUGGGCUCUCUCGUUUUCAGAUUAUUCAGAUUCCAUCCACCAGAUGAAGAAGAAAUCAUCAAGCUUCUUCUGAACAAGAGGAGACUUGACCCUGAUUUCUAUGUCCAAACAGAUAAGAAGCACAGAGCAGAAUGCGUCGUGUACGGGUUUCAUUUCAGGUAAAGUUGACAAGGUGACUGUCUUGCUUAUUUAUUUUCUGGAUUUUGGCUCUCACAACAGGAAAUUUCAAUGAAAAAUCUCUCUUUGCCGGAAUAAAAAUUGAUGGUUAACAUUCUAAAUUUUUGAGCUCAUACUCUUUACAACUUUAAUUUGUGUGAAGGGAAUUUGUUAUUUGCCUCUUAGAAAGAAAAAAUAAAAAAUUAACGAGGCUAAAACUUCAAAAUGUGAUGAUGGUCAAUCGAGUCACCAAUCAUUUCUAAUUUUAGAAAUCAUGUUGAAAAAGGAUAUUCAUGGGUGACAUAGGGCAUGCCGAAGGGAUAAUUUCAACAUGUUAUCCAUUUUUGUCGUAUGAGACUCCCACGUGAAAUUAUUACUUCGUUGCCAUUUUAGUUGUUAUUUUAGGUAGAAGGUCGACCACUGCCAAAUAUUGAUUCUAGAAAUCUUAUUUAUCUUUUACAUCAGGUAGAAUGUGAACAAUUAACAGCUCAUAGUAUGACUUAUAAGUGUAGAAAUCGUGUUGCAGAAAAUAGAUGUUUUAGUUCAAAGGUGAGAAAGAAUAUGUGUUGUUGACAGCUUUUUAUACCAACUAAUGAAUGUAGUGCAUAAGAAAUAUAUUUGGAACUAAUGCUAUUUACGGUUCUUAUUUCAGGAAGAAUUGCAGCUACUAUCAAGUCAUCAUUUGGUUUUGAUUCCAGAAAUCAUGUUGCAGAAAAAAGAAAAAUUUUCAGUGGUGAGAAAAAGUUUGAAUUUGGGCAUUUUUCAAAAUCAACUUAUAUAUAUAUUAUAAACGUAUCCAGAACUAAUAAAGCUUUGUUCAUGGUCUGUGCUUCAGAAAUCAUGUUGCAGAAAAUACUUUUCCAAAGGUGAGAAAGAACAAAACUUGUGGCAGAUAUGAAAUAUCAACUUAUGAACGUGGUGUAGCAGAAACUGUUUUUGGGACUAAUGCUACUUUGCCAUUGGCUCUAAUUUCAGGAAGAAUCCCAACUGUUACCAAGUCGCAAUUUAAAUUUGUACUGUAGAAAUCAUGUUGCAGAAAAUACUUUUCCAAUGGCAAGAAAAAGCAAGCAUAAUAUCUCUAAUGCACUAGAAAUAUAUACAUACAGAGCUAAUGUCUAUUUGUCCAAUGUUAAUUCAGGUAGAAUCUCUACAAUUGCCUAUUACCAUUUGAUUUCUUAUUUUAGAGAUCAAGUUGCAGAACAAACCUUUUUUAGGGGUGUGAACGAUUGCUAUAUAAACAAUUUCAAAUGCUAAUUUAUAUAUUUCGUGCAUGAGGAAUACGUAUCGAAAUUGUGUUUCUUCCUACGUUGGUUUUAGGAAGAACCUUUGGUGUUUGCUCAAUUUGAUGCUCUCUACGGUUGUAAUGGAUUCCCACUGGAAUCACUAGAAUAGAGAUGUUCUGAUGGCUUCAGUAAUGACUGUCAUGCGCUGAAUUUUCAAUUUAACGGCUGCGAGCAGCAGGAAGAUGUGAAUUCACAAUGGGGGCUAUCCAUGACAAAUACCCUCUUGUAGAAACUGAACUUGCUCAUCCUGCCCUCUUCAGUCUCCGCUAGCUAGUGGAGAAUAUUGUUGUUGAAAUUUUGAUCAUGCUUCAUGCAUGAGGAAUGUACUUCCCGCUGUGUUACAUAUAUUAGAAAAUAGUUAUUUCUAUAUGUGAUUGUGUUACCUAGUUCAUGAAAGUUGGUGCUUGUUUAAUGGGAAUAUAGUGCUAUGUUGUUAUGUUUGAUUAAUUUACUACAUGCAUAUGUUCUUUAGAUCAAUGGACUUGAGCCUAAGCCAUGAAACGCUUCCUAUUGGCGCAAUAACCACUAACAAAUUAUAUAUCAACUGCUCACCUACAAGGGAAGAAAUGGGCGUGGGUAAACGGUAAAUGAACUACUGAGAAUAUUAAUUAAGUAGCACAUUUAAACAACAAUCAAGUCCUCCAGGAAAUAAUGUUGUUUGUAGUACCUGGAUAAUCCACUUGGUCUGUAUUUGAUGUCUAUGUGUGGCAUAUGGCCAAGUCUUGGAAUCUUCAUCAGCUUGUUAAACAUACCAAUUGAAUUCUUGUUUAUAGUACUCGUACGAAUGGUUCAUAGACCUAAUGCAAGACUGUCCAUGGAUGGUAAAAAGGGGAAGAGUGGUUUCUUUCAUUGUGAGAUCAUGGCAAUUGCUUUUCCACCCAUCAACUUUACCUUCACUUGUAUGUACCUCGGAUCAAACUUGUCUUGAGCUAAUCCGCAAAAAUCUCCUAUAUCAGAAGAACUUGCAAAGCUAAAGAUCAAUCAUAUCAGAUGAACCUGUUCUUGAAAGACACCAGUUGGUGAAUUAUAUUAUUGUAAGCAUAUGUCAAAUCUCUUAAAAAAUAGUGCGCUAAAUAAUUUUGUUAAUUUUAUAAAUAAAUAAAGUUAACUAAUUUAAAAAGCUUAAGUAAUUAUAUUUUAAAAUUUUAAAAAAAUUAAAAAUAAUAUUUAGAGUGUAAAUAAUCCAACCCGAUCUCUCGGCCAGCUUUAUUUCUUUUCAAAUGACAUUAUUUUUUUUUUUGAAAAGAAAUUUUUAUUAAUCCAGAGAAGAUAACAAAUACAUGACUUGUAGAGGGUAGGAACCCUUCCAUACAACAGUUUCGCAUUUCUCUAAAGCUAUUUUAACUAGAGAAUGGGCAAUGGCAUUGCAAGAUCUAUGUGUAUACACACAACUAACAUGAUCGAAGCUUUCUUUCAAUUUCUGAAUUUCCAAUACUACCCAAUAGAUCUCGGAUCUGCUGCCCUGUCUGUUGUUUACUAAGCUAACUACUUCUUGCGAAUCUGACUCCAUAAUUACAUCUUUCACAUGCGCAUCUUUUGCCACCUGCAAGCCCCAUUCCAUAGCUUCUGCCUCAGCAUAAGCUACACUUCCAUGGAAUUUUGAAACCUUGAUCGCAGUUGCUGUCACUUGCCCAUUUUCAUCUCUAAUCACAGCCCCCAGCCCAGCAAGAUUCUUUUCUGAGUUGGUAGCGGCAUCAGUGUUGAUCUUAACAAACCCUUCUUGAGGGGGAUUCCAUCCCAGCUGAGCCACUUUCUGCUGCUUUCCAUGGCUUACAUCAGCUGAAGGCUGCACUCUCUUAUAAGCCUCCAUCACAGCUUCAGCUUUAGCCACAACAGAUUGGGGGUUCUCUCGCUUGCCUUUGAACAGCCAUUGGUUCCUUGCAUUCCACUUCGCCCAGAGCAUCACGGCAAACAAAUCUACAUCAGCAUUGCUUCUCAUUCUUUUCACUCCAUGCAACAAGCUCAAAAUAUCCUGCCCAGGGGCUGCUUGAAUAUCAAUAUAAAAAAGGGAUAAUCUCCAAACCUUCUUGGCUGCUUUACAAUCAACUAAGGCAUGAAACACAUUCUCUAUUCCCAUUUUACAAAGCUGGCAGGUAGGCUCUUGGACAAUCUUCCUCUUCCACAAAUUCUCAGCUGAAGGAAGCAAGUUUUUGGCUGCCCUCCAAACAAAUAUUCUGAUCUUCUUUGGCAGAGCAAGAGACCAAAUGAUAUUCCACUCAUUUUUCGAAGACUCCGAGCUUGAAGGCAUGGCUGGAAAUCUAAUUUUCAGUGCUCUCUGGUAACCGCUUUUGACAGUAUAUUGGCCACUCUUUCCAAAAUGCCAAAUGAGUUCAUCCUCCCUUAAUCUUCUCGGCAGCGGAAUUUGAGUUAUUACAUCAGCAUCCAUCUUAUCAAAAUGCUUGUAUAUCAGCUCCUCAUCCCAACAGUUCUCACCAUUGAUUAACUCUGAAACUAGAGCCUCACUAGGCAUUGUUGGCUUAAUCACAGGCUUGAAAGUAAAAGGUUUUGGAAUCCAGUUAGCCUUAUGUAUAUGGACAUCUUGACCAUUUCCAAUUCUCCAUCGAGAGCCCCCACAAAUGAUUUGUCUUCCCCACAAAAUACUCCUCCAAAUAUACGAAGGAUUAGAGCCAAUCUUCGCAUUCAAAAAAUUGGAUGAGUGGAAGUACCGCGCUUGCAGGACCCUAGCCACCAGAGAAUCGGGGCAUUGCUGAAUUCUCCAGCCUUGCUUCGCUAAUAGAGCUUGGUUGAAACUUGCAAAAUCCCGAAAUCCCAUACCCCCCUUACACUUGGCCUGACUCAUUUUCUCCCAUUUCGACCAAUGAAUACUUCGUCUCUCCCUGCUGGAUCCCCACCAGAAAUUGCCCACUAUUCUUUGAAUGUCUUCACAAAUCCCCAACGGAAUCUUAAACACACUCAUAGCGAAUGCUGGAAUGGCUUGCACAGCUGCUUUAAUCAACACCUCUUUGCCCCCACAAGAGAAAAAUUUAUGCUGCCAACUUGAGAUUUUGUUAAGAACCUUCAGCUUGAUGUCAUUGAAGAAACCACUUCUCUUUCUCCCAACCAUAGCAGGAAGGCCUAGGUAGUUUUCAUACUUGGACACAAUGUUGAGAUGAAAUAUGUUUCCAAUUGCAGAAGCUUGUGCUUGCUGGACGUUGCCACUAAGAAAGAGGGAGGAUUUCUCGAAGUUAAAUAUUUGCCCAGAUGCCAAAGAGUAACAGUCCAAGAUCAUCUUCAGUUUUUGGCAAUCGGCAACUGAAGCUCUGCAAAAAAUCAGACUGUCAUCCGCAAAUAAUAGAUGCGAGAUCUUCAACUCUUUUCCAAAAGACAACCCAUGUAUAAGUCUUUGCUGUUCAGCUUGUUGCAACAGGGAGGAAAAGGCCUCUGCACAAGUAAUAAACAAAUACGGGGAAAUGGGACAACCUUGCCUUAACCCUCUUUGAGGUUUGAUAAAGCCCUUAACCGAUCCAUUAAUGAUAACCGAAAAAGACACCGAACUAAUACACCUCAUUAUUAAACUGAUCCAUUGAUGGGAAAAGCCUAAGCGUUUCAUAAUUUGCUCAAGAAAACUCCACUCCAAUCUGUCAUAUGCUUUGCUCACAUCAAGCUUUAAAGCUACCAAGCCAUUUCUUAUGCUCUUACAAUGUCUUAUCUUGUGAAGACAUUCAUAACCAACUAUAAUGUUGUCAGUUAUCAGCCUAUGAGGAAUAAACGCACUUUGCGUUGGGGAGAUGAUCUUGUGCAAAAUUUGUUUAAACCUAUUCGCAAUUGAUUUAGCAACAAUCCUAUAGAUAACAUUACACAAGCUUAUAGGCCUAAACUAUGUGACUUUUCUAGGCUUCCUAAUUUUUGGAAUCAAUGCAAUAUAGGUAUGGUUGAUAGGAGUUAUAGAACCUUGUGAAUUAAAGAUGUGCAGGCAAGUAGCAAGGACUCCAUCUUUGACCAUUUGCCAAUGCUUUUGGUAAAAAAUUGCUGGCAAUCCAUCCGGACCCGGAGCCUUGGUUGGGCACAUUAGGCUCAGAGCAUCCAUCACUUCCUCAACUGAAAAAGGCUUCUCCAACAUCUCAUUCAUAUCUUUCGAUACUCUCGAGGUCAUGCCUUCCAUGGCUGCUGAGAUUUGCUCUUUACUUGGUUGAGUUGUUGCGAAAAGAUUGUUGAAAUAGCUGCAAAAUUCCUGCUCUAUCUCUUUUGGCUUCUCAGUCCAUCUUCCCGAGGUGUCCUCUAUCCCCCAUAUUCUGGUUUUCUUCUUCCUCGACGACGCCUUGUUGUGAAAAAAACUUUGUAUUCUUGUCACCUUCCUUGAGCCAAUCCGCUCUUGAGCGCUGCUUCCAAUAGAUUUCUUCCUUGAUGAGGAUGUUUUGAAUUUGCUUCUCCACUUUCUUAAUUUCUACUCAAUUUUCAAAUUGCACCUUCCUAAGCUUUAGACCCCGCAGCUGCACCCUCAGCUCCUCUAAUUUCUUCUCCCGCCUUCUAAAUUCCCCCUUGCUCCAAUAUAACAGCCGAGCCAUCGAUUUUUUCGCUGAGUUCCAAAACACAUGCACUGGAUUUUCACUCCUCCAAUUGCCGAACAGCCUCCAUUCUUCCUUAAUGAUUUCCUUACAUUCAUCAUACGAGCUCCACAUAUCCUUGUAAUGGAUUCUUGAACGGUGCCUUCCAUCAUGAAUCAUUCCCUCAUUCCUCUCUUUAACUUCCAUCAACACAGGGCAGUGAUCCGAAAACCAUGUGUCAAGGUUGCUAGCUUCACCGUCCACAAAAAUUUCACUCCACUCUUUAUUACAAACAAAUCUAUCUAACCUUUCUUCCACAAAACCCUAACCCCUUAAACCCAACAUCCUUUAAAUCACAAUCCCUCAAAGCUUCGCUAAAAUCAUUGAUUAAUUUCACAUUCCUAUCAUUUCCCCCCCUUUUCUCACCCGGAUGCAAAACCUCAUUAAAAUCACCAAAACACAGCCAAGGGCUAAAAGACAAACCUGCCAGCCGUCUUAGAAGCGUCCAAGUAUGCUUUUUUUGCCCCAUUUCUGGAUGACUAUACACUCCUGUAAUCCUCAUUCGUCUACCAGAUGUCGUUAGUAUUUCAGCAUCGAUAUGGUGCGUGCUGAAAGACUUGAUUUGCACCCUACUUUCUGAGCUCCAGAGCAACGCUAAGCCUCCACCUCUACCACUACAGUUUACCGCGAAGAAAUUAUCAAAAUGUAGCUUAUUCGCAAUCCCGUUCAUUUGCAAAACCGAAACCUUUGUCUCGCACAAAAAAAUAAUUUGAGCACCAUGCAAAAGGAGGAUUUUUUUCAAGGCUUGAAACGCUCGGGGAUUCCCCAAACCCCGAACGUUCCAACUGAUAAUUUUCAUGAUUUUCGGCGGGGCUGACUGCCAGCCUCCGCCGAUACUUGUGCAAUGUUUGAAUCCAUGACUUCCAUGUCUUCCAGCAUCAAAAGCUCUUUGGUCAUCUUGGCCCCUGUUGUUGGCGGGAAAUGAUCAAGUUUAUUAAGCUCUAGUUUGAUGGAGCUAGUUAACUUCGUUUUUUUCUUGGGGUUUUGCCCGAAAGUUUCCUUACUUGGCCUUUUCUGAGUCCCAAUCUGAGAUUUGGAUUUCCCCUCUCCUGGAAUUCGGGCUUGUAUCUUCCAUUUUCGCUUAUUGGGCCUUAAUUGUGAAAUUACCAGCCCAUCGUCUAUUUCAGCUUCCUCGCUUCGCAUUCGGUUUACUUGCACUCUUUCCCACUCUUUUAUGUUUCCAUUUCCCGCCUCUAAUUCCUCUUUUCUAGGGACUGUACCAUUCCCCGAGCCCUCAGUUUGCUUGUAGCCGUCUACUUGCUUUUUUCCCAUCGAUUCUAUCACUUCCUUCAUUAAAUGUUGUUCACCUACUCCCUCCACACCACCCCUCUUGUCAUGCUCCCUGAUUUGCCCCAUUUCUGCCCCAAUGGGUUCCGACCCGUUUACCCUUAAUGGGUUAGCUUGCUUCUGCCUUUGCUGUUGAGAGGAGCUGUGGUUCUCUGAGCUUUCAGCUUUCUCUUCCGAUUUACCCCCCCCAUAGCUCCAUUUCUCCCUCUUUUGAUAUCUUCUUGCUUGGCUCCCUACCGUUGUUGCUUUCAUCCAACUCCCAUACGGUAAUUCUUCUCUUUGUUGACUCUUGUACUUUUCACAUUCCUUGUAUUGAUGGCCAAUAAUCCCACAACAAAAAUAAAAGUCUGUCAAUCGUUCAUAAACCACCGGCAUUGGGAUGUCUGGCUCACCUUCUUGUUUGAGGAACAAUAUUCUCUCCAGGGGCUGUGUUAUGUUGACUGAAAUUCUGAUUCUAGCAAAUUCUCCAAAACAAUCUCCAUUAUCAUCGGUUUCGACCUCCUCUACUAUCCCAAUCUUUCCGCCUAAUUCUUGAAGAAACUCUUUUUCCAUACAAGCAAUUGGGACGUUCCGGAUCUACACCCAAAAGGAUGUCCAGAUAAAUGAUUGUUUGGUGACUUCCCCGAUCCCUUGGGGCUCAGUUAGGACUAUUAAUGCCCUAUCAAAGUGCCACGGACCCCCUGAUAAUACCCUUUUUUUGUCUGUUUGUUCUGCAAAUCUGAACAUGAAGAUAUUAUUCCCCAAGCUCUCGAUUUUGACUUCUUUGAACGUUCUCCACACUUGCUGUAACGCAGCCUUGAGCCCUUCUUUAUUAACUCCUCUCGAGAGAAGGACUUUACCCAUUAGACAUCUUGCUAGCAUUCCUGCUUUCUUAGUUUUCACGUCCACCUCCAUCGUCACUCUAGCUUUAUCUUCCUCUCGAAUAGUUAUUGCUUUGCAUUUUCGAAUUAAUUCGUCUGUAUCCAUGGCAGCUAAUGAAAGAGGGUGAGCACACAACUAUGACUACGAAUCCUUUCCUCCGAGAAUACUCUCUGCUUCCCCAGAGAGCCUAUCCAAACGCACUAUAGCUAAAAAAACUAAAGAUAAUGAUCUACUUUACACUCCCAAGGAGUGAACACCCGGGUCCUUAUGACCCCUCAAUACUUCCAUUCCAGCCUCUCUAUUCGAGAGAGAGAGCUUUACAAAGGAAGACACAUUUUUCAAAUGACAUUAUUAAAAGAACUAAAGUUGUUAAAAAAGGAAAAGAGAUUUAUUAAUUUUUUUAAAAAAACAUACUAACUCUACAUUUUACAAAGAUGAUAGCAAUACCCAUUAGUUCCACGAACCUUGAUAUCAGGACACUCAUUAUUUCAACUUGUUCUGUAGCAAUCGAGUAGAAAUUAUAUUGCCCACUGACUCUUUCUAGUUUUCGCAGACCAAAUUGGACAGAAGAAGCUUUCACUCUCUCAGUAUUACUCUAUGUUUCACCUGGGUGCUGAAUCAGAAAUGAACAGUCUCGUAGGGUUCAGAUUCUACCCAACUGAUGAAGAAAUCAUUCGUCUCCUGAAGAUGAAGAGACUUGAUCCUGGUUUCUCCGUCCGUACGAUCAAGGAAAUUGAUUUCUACGGCUUUGAGCCCUGGGAGCUACCCUGUAAGUAAUCGUGCCAAUCAAGUACUCAACGCGAUGUCUGUUCAAGAUUAAUUAGUUUAGUAACUAAAAUUCAGAAAUUGAUGGAAUCAUUUGCUGCGAUGCAGGCCAUUCUGAGAUUCAGUCUGAGGAAGAGGUGUGGUACUUUUUCUGUGAGCCUGAUUACAAGUAUGCCAAGAGUAAACGGGUAAAUAGAGGAACAAAGGAAGGAACCUGGAAAAAGACGGGCAAUGGUUCUAAAAUCAAGCGAAAAUACAGUACCGAAGUGAUUGGUACCAAAAGGAUUUUGUCUUUCUCCCGCCAUGAUUCUGCCUCCAAGAAAGCUAAGACUGAGUGGGUUAUGCACGAAAUAGCUGUU